ACGACUACAUAUCAGGCAUAUCAAUAAGCGGAGGAAAAGAAACUAACUAGGAUUCCCUUAGUAACGGCGAGUGAAGCGGGAAGAGCUCAAAUUUGAAAUCUUCAAGGUUCUACCUUGACGAAUUGUAGUUUAUAAGAAGUGUUUUCUGUUAGUGGAGUGGCAAAAGUUCUUGGAAUAGGACAUCAUAGAGGGUGAGAAUCCCGUAUUUGAUCAUUUCUUCUAGCUGUGUGAUACACUUUCAAAGAGUCGGAUUGUUUGGGAAUGCAGUCCAAAAUGGGUGGUAAAUUUCAUCUAAAGCUAAAUAUUGGCGAGAGACCGAUAGCGAACAAGUACCGUGAGGGAAAGAUGAAAAGAACUUUGAAAAGAGAGUUAAACAGUACGUGAAAUUGUCAAAAGGGAAGCGUUUGACACCAGUGUUGUUUUCUCGAAAAUCAAUUAAAAAUGACCGGAUUUUGUGUUGUAUUGACUUUAUCAGCUUUCUGCACUUUUUUCCUAUCUUUUUUAAUGCACUUUUCGUUUAACAAGUCAACAUCAAUUUCUUUUGUUGUAAAAGAGUCAUUGGAAGGUGGCUUUCUUUUCGGAGAAAGUGUUUAUAGCCUUUGACUUCUGCAAUCGGAGAGAUUGAGGUCUGCAGCGUAGAUCCUUCGGGGUUAGAUAGCAUUUGUGCUAAGUUAUAGCCUUUCAUAGACAACUUGUUGACUAUGAUUAAGUCAUGUAGCUUACUCGCUUAUGCUAUUUUACCUACGCUUAGGAUGUUGACGCGCGUGUGUGCGUG
rnacentral:rRNA from 1 species